GCAGGGGCAGGGGCGCUCUCGGGGCCGGAUCCCGGCUCUGCCUUGGGCUCAGGGCUGGGGCCCGGUCCGUGUCCAGCACUGUGAUCCCCUCCCCUCCCCAGCGCCUGCCGCGGAGAUGGCUGUGGCAUCCGCGAACAGGCGUCAGCUUGUGGGGCUCUGUGGUCUGGGAUCCCAGCCUCUGCCAAAGUCCUGCAUUCCCUGGGUGUGGGGACGCUGUGACCUGGGGACGAACCUCAGAGGGUCGGGACAAGGAAAGGAAGGCCCCGGCCCAACAUCGGGGUCUGGGCGCUGGUGGGACAGGGCAGGCUCAGCCUUGGGGCCGGUCAGGGCCCUGUUGGGGUUCGGGUCCCCCUGCCAGGUCCGCGUCUGCAGCCACAGCCCCUCAACCCCAGCAGGGACCCCAGAGACCGGCUCGGGACCCCCUGGUGGCCGUCUUGUGCCACUGCAGUUCUGCUGCUGAGAGGUUCCCGGGGUUCCCGGGGUUCCCGGGGUCCCUGGCCCGGCAGCCUCCUGGGCUCCCAGGCAGGCGCGCUCUGCCGUCCGCUCAUGCGGGGACAGCGGACCUCAGAGGCAAGCCUCAAAGACGCGCCCAGAUCAGGAUCCCAGGAACCCAGCUCACAUACAAAUCAGAAAAGCCCUAAAGAAGCAGAAACAAGAAUCAGUGAAACAAGAAACUAUAGAAUAAGAACCCAAACAAAAGCAAAAUGUCGGCGUUAUCAGACAUAGAAUAUGCAAUGUGUGCUUAAGAGGGUUUUUUUGUUUGUUUUGUUUUGAGAUGGAGUCUCGCUCUGUCGCCCAGGCUGGAGUACAGUGGUGCGAUCUCGGCUCACUGCAACCUCCGCCUCCCGAGUUCAAGCGAUUCUCCUGCCUCAGCCUCCUGAAUAGCUGGGACUACAGGUGCCCGCCACCACGCCCGACUAAUUUUUUUGGAUUUUUAGUAGACACGGGGUUUCACCGUGUUAGCCAGGAUGGUCUCGAUCUCCUGACCUCAUGAUCUUCCUGCCUCAGCCUCCCAAAGUGCUGGGAUUACAGCGUGGCCACCACGCUCGGCCAAGAGAUUUUUUAAACUUACUUACAGAAGCUAUUCAAAUAUUACUGCAAAAUGGGAAAUUACUGCACAUUGCAUUUUGAAAUGACCUGAGAGUUUUACGAAGAACUUCUAGAACUGAAAACCGUAAUAGAUGAGGCUAAAAUAAGAAUGGAUGGGACAGGCAGCGCAGAGGACACGCAGGAGCAG
rnacentral:lncRNA from 1 species